rnacentral:tRNA from 1 species
AUCUGGCUGGUCCAGUGGUAGAGCAUGAGACUCUUGAUCUCAGGGUUGUGAGUUCGAGUCCCAUGUUGGGGG